rnacentral:rRNA from 1 species
CCGCCGCGCGCGGCGGGCCUACGGGAGGCAGCAGUGGGGAAUAUUGCACAAUGGGCGCAAGCCUGAUGCAGCCAUGCCGCGUGUAUGAAGAAGGCCUUCGGGUUGUAAAGUACUUUCAGCGGGGAGGAAGGUGUUGUGGUUAAUAACCGCAGCAAUUGACGUUACCCGCAGAAGAAGCACCGGCUAACUCCGUGCCAGCAGCCGCGGUAAUA